CAGAAAUACAAAACACAGUGGUCAGAAUAGCGAAAAAAUGUGCUCAAGAGCCCUUCAACAGGAUGACAGCAGUUCUACCAAAAUUCUAAGAAGUGCUGGGCAUUUGAGGAUAAAAUACAAUCAACAGUAUGAACCCUUACUCACAGUUUCAAACAGAAUGCCUCCAAAGUCCACAAAUAAAGGUCACCUAUUGGCCUGGCAAGAAUGAGUUGCAGGCUGUGGAAUAUCAAGGAAGCGAGAUCUGUGAGGACCAGCUGUGCUGCUGCAAACCAUUCAAUUACAGCACAAAUAGGAGCCUUGCAUAUGAGGGCAGUGCAACAUUUGUUCCCAGUCAGUGGGCGUGCUGAAAGAAAGUUCUUUGCUCUGGCUGAUAAGGAAGUGUGCUUCCUAUGUCUCUCUAGAGACAAGAAACUUAAACAUUUAGCCAGCCCCAGAAGCCUGAAGCUUCCACUUUCUAAUUUGAGACAUAGGACUUGCUUUUUGUAAAAGCUAUUUUUUGAGACAAAGGAUUCUUUGGUUUAUUUGGUCUGAGUAUAGGGGGAAAAACAGAAAGUAAUUUUUGGCUUCCAUCUCUUCCCAAUACCAUAAUAAGAUAUCUCUUGAAUUAUCAAAACCAAGACACAUUAUGUCAUUCAGCUAACCCUAGGUGAUUAUGACUAUUUUAACAGUAAUAUGCCUUUGUCACAAGCUAAUUACAUCACUAAAACAGAGCUAUUAGUCUUAAAUUAUAAUAAACAGCCAUCAUUCUUCUCCUGCACCAUCCUUCAUUCUCCAUGUGUGAGAAAUUUCCCACUUUGUGGGUGUUGAGGAAAUAAAAACCAUCUUCCAUGAAGAAAAGCUGAUUUCUGAAUGUUUCCAAAGCCGGGCCACAGGCAGCAAUCUUGGGUUUUGCUAGUAGAAGGCUAAUGUAGACUAUGCUGAUUUGUGAGCUGAGGAUGAAAGGUCUAUGAGGUUAUGGUAACAGGAGUUUUCUUCUGCCUCAGCAGCAUAAAUUUCACACACAGCAGUUGAGCUCCGUAAUGGUGAUCAAGGACCAUUUGACCAAGGACCAUUUCUGCUUGCCUUGAGUUGGACAUACAAAAUGAACUGGAACGCUAGCUUACGCCUCCCGUUUAGUAAAUUCUUCAUCUGUUUAAAGAAGUCCGCCAUGCUGUUUACAAGGAAAACCUCGACCAAAACUAGGCUGAAACCUUAACUCGGAUGUGACUCUCUUUCUCAAACUCCCUUCUUCUCUCACCACCUUUCCCCUCUCCUACCUCCUCUCUGCUCUCCUCCCUUCCAUCUUAUCCCCUUGCUUCUUCCCUGACCCACUCCUCUCUCCCAUCCAGUGCUCCUUCACCAUUUCCUUUAUCCUUUCUUCCCUGACCCCUUCACUCUGUAUUACAGUCCUCCCUCCUCUCUCAUCCUUCUUGUUCCCCCUCCUCCUGCUGAACACCCCCUUCCCACUCCUCUUUUCCCUCAUUAUCUUGCCUCUUAAUUUCUAGUCAUUUUUAGUGUUCUUAUGACAAAGUGGCAGAAACAA